rnacentral:rRNA from 1 species
CCUACGGGUGGCAGCAGUGGGGAAUAUUGCACAAUGGGCGCAAGCCUGAUGCAGCCAUGCCGCGUGUGUGAAGAAGGCCUUCGGGUUGUAAAGCACUUUCAGCGGGGAGGAAGGCGGUGAGGUUAAUAACCUCAUCGAUUGACGUUACCCGCAGAAGAAGCACCGGCUAACUCCGUGCCAGCAGCCGCGGUAAUACGGAGGGUGCAAGCGUUAAUCGGAACUACUGGGCGUAAAGCGCACGCAGGCGGUCUGUCAAGUCGGAUGUGAAAUCCCCGGGCUCAACCUGGGAACGGCAUUCGAAACUGGGAGGCUAGAGGCCUGUGGAGGGGGGUAGAAUUCCAGGGGGAGGGGUGAAAUGCGUAGAGAUCUGGAGGAAUACCCGGGGCGAAGGCGGCCCCCUGGACAAAGACUGACGCUCAGGUGCGAAAGCGUGGGGAGCAAACAGGAUUAGAUACCCGAGUAGUC